rnacentral:tRNA from 1 species
GCCGAAAUAGCUCAGUUGGGAGAGGCGUUAGACUGAAGAUCUAAAGGUCCCUGGUUCGACUCCGGUUUCGCAGCA